rnacentral:lncRNA from 1 species
GCGGGUUCGGUUUUCAGCACCAAAUGCUCCUGGAUCCAUAAUAAGCAACCACAAAUACAGACAACAAAUGACUGUGUUUAUCAUUGUCUCUUCUUGGGUAAAGAAUUGCUCUUUAGUAAACACUCAUUACACACUUGCAGCAUUCAACAGGAAAGUGGCUCAGAAAUGUGAGCAGAGAUAAAGGACGCUUAACCCUCCAUCUCCCAGGUAACCAGUCUCGGAACUGUUGGCUACAAAAAUCCAAGAAUGUUCCUAAUUUUUUUUUAAAUCAUGGAAUUUAUAACCCCUCACAAAGCAGGAAUGUACCAAGUGUAAAGGUUACAGCUGAGAGCUACUAAAGCUUUAGAGGCAACCAUUGUUAAUAACGAUCAGCUGAAAGAGGAAUAUAGCUCAACCUUCAGAGCAUCACUCAAACAGUUAGCAUUUCUAAAGCCCUAGAGCCUCUGACAGCUAGGCAUAAAUCAGGGAGGAUUUAAAUUCCUGAUUUUUUGGCAUUUUCCAAGCUAUAAAUCUCACACAUUCUUAAAACCACAUUUGUCCCAUAACCAGAGCUGAGGACCAGCGUGGGUUCCAACUGCAGCUCAAAUAGAACUGGAGUGAGGAUGCCUGCUUCGAACGCAUGAAAAGCUAUCAAGAAGAAGGCAUCACAGCUUUCUGGAGGAGACAGUACCUGAUGCAGCAUUUUCCGAGAUCAGAGUCACCCUGUUGCACUGUGCCUGCAGGCCAGUCUUUAGGGUCUGGAAAGUGCCCUUUGGCUCAUGGACGUCAUGCCCUUUGGCUACCCUGUACAGCUGUUGGACCGGCCACCUCCUGAGCCAUAGCAGCCAACUGCCAACCAAACCAAGAGCAGAGGCAUUGACAUUGGAACCCUUUGGAAAUGGAACUUUUGAGAAGUUUGGGCAUCUUUCUUUUACCUGCUCUUUAAACCAAGCAGUCAAGUCUGAAUGCUUCUUCUCUGUUAUAAACUCAUAUUCCUGCCUCAUAUCCUCCAGGACCUUAAUCAGAUCUUCUCCCGGGGCUGCAUCCAACUUCAUGUUGACCUUGAAGUCAUCUGGGACAUGAUGUUUCCCCAUCUCCUCUCUAAUAACAGAGAGAGAAAAUGAAUUGGCUGUGACCAUCAGAAGGCCAGAAGUGUGUUGACGGGCAGCAGUUCACAGAUCUAUUAAGAAAAAGAACCAGCUUAUGUGGUUGUCGCUCUUUUACUGGUUUGAUU